AAUCAACGCUGGCGGCGUGCCUAACACAUGCAAGUCGAACGCGAAAGCCCCGCAAGGGGUAAGUAGAGUGGCCAACGGGUGAGUAACACGUGGGUGACCUGCCUUCGAGUGGGGAUAACGUCCCGAAAGGGACGCUAAUACCGCAUGACAUCCUGCUUUUGAAAAAGCGGAGAUCAAAGCUGGGGAUCGCAAGACCUAGCGCUUGAAGAGGGGCCCGCGCCUGAUUAGCUAGUUGGUGAGGUAACGGCUCACCAAGGCGACGAUCAGUAUCCGGCCUGAGAGGGCGGACGGACACACUGGGACUGAGACACGGCCCAGACUCCUACGGGAGGCAGCAGUGGGGAAUUGUUCGCAAUGGGCGCAAGCCUGACGACGCAACGCCGCGUGGAGGACGAAGAUCUUCGGGUCGUAAACUCCUGUCGAGCGGGACGAACGCUUCGCGGAUGAAUAAUCCGCGGAAUUGACGGUACCGCUAAAGGAAGCCCCGGCUAACUCCGUG
rnacentral:rRNA from 1 species